GGCCUACCAUGGUGGUAACGGGUAACGGGGUGUUAGGGCACGACACCGGAGAGGGAGCCUGAGAAACGGCUACCACAUCCAAGGAAGGCAGCAGGCGCGCAAAUUACCCAAUCCCGACACGGGGAGGUAGUGACAAUAAAUAACAAUACAGGGUUCUUUUGGAUCUUGUAAUUGGAAUGAGUACAAUUUAAAUCUCUUAACGAGGAACAAUUGGAGGGCAAGUCUGGUGCCAGCAGCCGCGGUAAUUCCAGCUCCAAUAGCGUAUAUUAAAGUUGUUGCAGUUAAAAAGCUCGUAGUUGAAUUUCGGGAUCAAUAUUUCGGUCAUGCCGUUGGUAUGCACUGUUAUCAUUGAUUUCUCACCUUCUAAAGAACCGUAAUGCCAUUAAUUUGGUGUUACGGGGAAUUAGGACUGUUACCUUGAAAAAAUUAGAGUGUUUAAAGCAGGCUCACGCUUGAAUACAUUAGCAUGGAAUAAUGAAAUAGGGCAUCCGAUUCUAUUUUGUUGGUUUCUAGGAUCGAUGUAAUGAUUAAUAGGGAUAGUUGGGGGCAUUAGUAUUCAAUUGUCAGAGGUGAAAUUCUUGGAUUUAUUGAAGACUAACUACUGCGAAAGCAUUUGCCAAGGAUGUUUUCAUUAAUCAAGAACGAAAGUUAGGGGAUCGAAGACGAUCAGAUACCGUCGUAGUCUUAACCAUAAACUAUGCCGACUAGGGAUCGGAUGAUGUUAAUUUUUUAAUGACUCAUUCGGCGCCUUACG
rnacentral:rRNA from 1 species